rnacentral:misc_RNA from 1 species
ACAAGAGAUAGGAUUCCAUUUAACAAAUGGCUAGGGUAACCUAAGGGAAAGUGCAACAGAAAUAUACCGCCAUGUUUUCAUGGUAAGGGUGAAAAGGCAGGGUAAGAGCCUACCGAUUUCUUGGUAACAAGAAAUGCCAUGUAAACCCAAUCCGUAGCAAGAAUAGCAGGUUAAUAUCUCUGUUUUUAGCUAUUCGCUUGAAUAAUAUUGCGAAAUAUUAUCUAGAUAAAUAAUUACUAAAU